rnacentral:misc_RNA from 1 species
GAUGAAGAACGCAGCGAAAUGCGAUAAGUAAUGUGAAUUGCAGAAUUCAGUUAAUCAUCGAAUCUUUGAACGCACCUUGCGCCCUUUGGCCAUUCCGAAGGGCAUGCCUGUUUGAGUAUCAUGAACACCUCAACUCUUUAUGGUUUUCCAUGAUGAGCUUGGACUCUGGGGGUUUUGCUGGCUCACAGUCGGCUCCUCUAAAAUGAAUCAGCUUACCAGUGUUUGGUGGGUAUCAUGGGUGUGAUAACUAUCUACGCUUGUGGUUUUUCCACCAGGUAACCUUCAGCAGUGGAGGUUCGCUGGAGCUCAUAGAUGUCUCUCCUCAGUGAGGACAGCCCUUUGAAUGUUUGAUCUCAAAUCAGGUAGGACUACCCGCUGAACUUAAGCAUAUCAAUAAGCGGAGGA